rnacentral:rRNA from 1 species
UAAGCAUAUCAAUAAGCGGAGGAAAAGAAACCAACAGGGAUUGCCCUAGUAACGGCGAGUGAAGCGGCAACAGCUCAAAUUUGAAAUCUGGCUCUUUCAGGGUCCGAGUUGUAAUUUGCAGAGGGCGCUUUGGCUUUGGCAGCGGUCCAAGUUCCUUGGAACAGGACGUCACAGAGGGUGAGAAUCCCGUACGUGGUCGCUAGCUAUUGCCGUGUAAAGCCCCUUCGACGAGUCGAGUUGUUUGGGAAUGCAGCUCUAAAUGGGAGGUAAAUUUCUUCUAAAGCUAAAUACUGGCCAGAGACCGAUAGCGCACAAGUAGAGUGAUCGAAAGAUGAAAAGCACUUUGGAAAGAGAGUCAAACAGCACGUGAAAUUGUUGAAAGGGAAGCGCUUGCAGCCAGACUUGCUUGCAGUUGCUCAUCCGGGCUUUUGCCCGGUGCACUCUUCUGCAGGCAGGCCAGCAUCAGUUUGGGCGGUGGGAUAAAGGUCUCUGUCACGUACCUCUCUUCGGGGAGGCCUUAUAGGGGAGACGACAUACCACCAGCCUGGACUGAGGUCCGCGCAUUCGCUAGGAUGCUGGCGUAAUGGCUGUAAGCGGCCCGUCUUGAAACACGGACCAAGGAGUCUAACAUCUAUGCGAGUGUUUGGGUGUCAAGCCCGAACGCGUAAUGAAAGUGAACGGAGGUGGGAACCCGCAAGGGUGCACCAUCGACCGAUCCUGAUGUCUUCGGAAGGAUUUGAGUAAGAGCAUGGCUGUUGGGACCCGAAAGAUGGUGAACUAUGCUUGAAUAGGGUGAAGCCAGAGGAAACUCUGGUGGAGGCUCGCAGCGGUUCUGACGUGCAAAUCGAUCGUCAAAUUUGGGCAUAGGGGCGAAAGACUAAUCGAACUAUCUAGUAGCUGGUUCCUGCCGAA